GUAGGUGGCAAGCGUUGUCCGGAAUUAUUGGGCGUAAAGCGCGCGCAGGCGGUCCUUUAAGUCUGAUGUGAAAGCCCACGGCUCAACCGUGGAGGGUCAUUGGAAACUGGGGGGCUUGAGUACAGAAGAGGAAAGCGGAAUUCCAAGUGUAGCGGUGAAAUGCGUAGAGAUUUGGAGGAACACCAGUGGCGAAGGCGGCUUUCUGGUCUGUAACUGACGCUGAGGCGCGAAAGCGUGGGGAGCAAACAGGGAUUAGAUACCCUGGUAGUCCACGCCGUAAACGACGAGUGCUAAGUGUUAGGGGGUUUCCCGCCCCCUUAGUGCUGCAGCUAACGCAUUAAGCACUCCGCCUGGGGAGUACGGCCGCAAGGCUG
rnacentral:rRNA from 1 species